rnacentral:rRNA from 1 species
UACCAGCACCCCGAGUGGUCGGGACGAUUAUUGGGCCUAAAGCAUCCGUAGCCGGUUCUGCAAGUCUUCCGUUAAAUCCACCUGCUCAACAGAUGGGGCUGCGGAGGAUACUACAGGGCUAGGAGGCGGGAGAGGCAAGCGGUACUCAGUGGGUAGGGGUAAAAUCCUCUGAUCCACUGAAGACCACCAGUGGCGAAGGCGGCUUGCCAGAACGCGCUCGACGGUGAGGGAUGGAAGCUGGG